UGUGCUUUACUAUUUUUUUGUAAAAUAGUACAAUUUAAAACAACAAUAACUUUUCUGUGAAAGAGCUUCUACAAACUGGUGCAUUAACCAUUACAGAAGCAUAAACAAAUGUUAAUGUAAGGCAGCUGUGCUAUUUGUUAAGCACUAUAUGUAUAUACACAUGUAUAUAUAGUGGAUAGAUUACAUUACCAAACCAAAUGCCUUCCCUACUGUGACUGAGGUAAUACCACCUCCCACAUAUAAGCCCUCAGCACCUGAUGUAUCCCCAUGUACUAAAGUGUAAUGGCUCUCACCGGCUCUGUUUGGGUUAAUUACCUACCGCCACAUUCCCAGAGUUCCUGCUUUUACUUGAAUUCGGAUGAAUCAGCUCCUUAUGGGCGGGGUUUUUGUCACAUCUCUCUGCACACAAAUGGUUGCAUGCAUCAUUAUCACCGACGGCAUUGGCAGCAAAACAGGAGCUGCUCUGCUGUGAUGUUGGAGGAGAAAUUGCAUCCGAAGAGGCCUAAAAGUGAUGCGAGAGGCAUUUUGGGAAACGCGAGAUGCAGUGACCUCUUGGAUUUUUUUAAAAGAUCUCACCUCGUCGGCUGCUCAUUCUCCUUUCCAAUACAGGAGGAAGUCCGUUCACAAUCGGUGGUUCACAAUUGAAUGUGAGGUGAAUCAUUAAGACUGGUGUGACAGUAUAAUUAGCCGAGUUGGUCUCCUACCCUGCAUGCUGGUCGUCUGAGACCCAACUCACGGAGAGUGGCGCCCCUUCAC